UUGCUAUGAUGGUUACAUUUUUCGUCAACAGCAUUUCACCCAGUGAAUGGUGACGCAUCAAGGCUGAGCGA
ensembl:snoRNA small nucleolar RNA SNORD56